rnacentral:rRNA from 1 species
CCCGGUACCGCAAACCGACACAGGUAGGCAGGGUGAGAAUCCCAAGGCGCUUGAGAGAACUCGGGUGAAGGAACUAGGCAGAAUGGCACCGUAACUUCGGGAGAAGGUGCGCCUCUUGGUGUGGUCACGUGCGUGACUGAGCAUCGAGGGGUCGCAGUAACCUGGCCGCUGCGACUGUUUAUCAAAAACACAGCACUCUGCAAACACGAAAGUGGACGUAUAGGGUGUGACGCCUGCCCGGUGCUGGAAGGUUAAUUGAUGGGGUCAGCCGCAAGGCGAAGCUCUUGAUCGAAGCCCCAGUAAACGGCGGCCGUAACUAUAACGGUCCUAAGGUAGCGAAAUUCCUUGUCGGGUAAGUUCCGACCUGCACGAAUGGCGUAACGACAGCGGCGCUGUCUCCACCCGAGACUCAGUGAAAUUGAAAUCGCUGUGAAGAUGCAGCGUUCCCGCGGCAAGACGGAAAGACCCCGUGAACCUUUACUAUAGCUUUACACUGAACGUUGAGUUCUUCUGUGUAGGAUAGGUGGGAGGCUAUGAAACCAGGACGCUAGUUCUGGUGGAGCCAUCCUUGAAAUACCACCCUGAAGUGCUUGACGUUCUAACCUAGGUCCGUAAUCCGGAUCGGGGACCGUGUAUGGUGGGUAGUUUGACUGGGGCGGUCUCCUCCCAAAGAGUAACGGAGGAGCACGAAGGUACGCUCAGCGCGGUCGGACAUCGCGCACUGUGUGCAAAGGCAUAAGCGUGCUUGACUGCGAGAUCGACGGAUCAAGCAGGUACGAAAGUAGGUCUUAGUGAUCCGGUGGUUCUGUAUGGAAGGGCCAUCGCUCAACGGAUAAAAGGUACUCCGGGGAUAACAGGCUGAUACCGCCCAAGAGUUCAUAUCGACGGCGGUGUUUGGCACCUCGAUGUCGGCUCAUCACAUCCUGGGGCUGUAGCCGGUCCCAAGGGUAUGGCUGUUCGCCAUUUAAAGUGGUACGCGAGCUGGGUUCAGAACGUCGUGAGACAGUUCGGUCCCUAUCUGUCGUGGGCGUUGGAGAUUUGAGGGGGGCUGCUCCUAGUACGAGAGGACCGGAGUGGACGUUCCGCUGGUGUUCGGGUUGUCAUGCCCAUGGCAUUGCCCGGUAGCUACGAACGGAAGUGAUAACCGCUGAAAGCAUCUAAGCGGGAAGCACGCCCCAAGAUGAGAUCUCCCGAGAGCUUGACUCUCCUAAAGGCACCAUCAAGACUAGGUGGUUGAUAGGCACGGUGUGGAAGUGCAGCAAUGCAUUGAGCUUACGUGUACUAAUGAGCCGUGAGGCUUGACCU